GCCUCGGUGGCUUAGUGGUAGAGCGCGCGAGAAUUAAACUACGUGGUUUUUUUCCGGCGAAGCUGUUAACCGCGAAGUCGAGAGUUCGAUCCUCUCCCGAGGCG
rnacentral:tRNA from 2 species